CCUACGGGUGGCAGCAGUAGGGAAUCUUUCACAAUGGGCGCAAGCCUGAUGGAGCAACGUCGCGUGCAGGAUGAAGGCCCUCGGGUUGUUAACUGCCUUUAUAAGCGAGAAAUAUGAUGGUAACUUAUGAAUAAGGAUCGGCUACCUACGUGCCAGCAGCCGCGGUCAUACGUAGGAUCCGAGCAUUAUCCGGAGUGACUGGGUGUAAAGAGUUGCGUAGGUGGGAUAAUAAGUAGCUAGUGAAAUCUGGUGGCUCAACCAUUCAGACUAUUAGCUAAACUGUUCAGCUCGAGACCGUGAGGGGUAAGUGGAAUGUGUAGUGUAGGAGUGAAAUCAGUAGAUAUUAGAAAGAACACCGAUAGCGUAGGCAGGUUACUGGGACGGUUCUGACACUAAGGCACGAAAGCGUAGGGAGCGAACGGGAUUAGAUACCCCUGUAGUC
rnacentral:rRNA from 1 species